GACGAACGCUGGCGGCGUGCUUAACACAUGCAAGUCGAACGGAAAGGCCCUGCUUUUGUGGGGUGCUCGAGUGGCGAACGGGUGAGUAACACGUGAGUAACCUGCCCUUGACUUUGGGAUAACUUCAGGAAACUGGGCUAAUACCGGAUAGGAGCUCCUGCUGCCUGGUGGGGGUUGGAAAGUUUCGGCGGUUGGGGAUGGAUUCGCGGCUUAUCAGCCUGUUGGUGGGGUAGGGGCUUACCAAGGCUUUGACGGGUAGCCGGCCUGAGAGGGUGACCGGGCACAUUGGGACUGAGAUACGGCCCAGACUCCUACGGGAGGCAGCAGUGGGGAAUAUUGCACAAUGGGCGGAAGCCUGAUGCAGCAACGCCGCGUGCGGGAUGACGGCCUUCGGGUUGUAAACCGCUUUCGCCUGUGACGAAGCGUGAGUGACGGUAAUGAGUAAAGAAGCACCGGCUAACUACGUG
rnacentral:rRNA from 1 species